GCGCCCCCUCGAAAAAGGCCCGUCCUCAGCGCUCCCAGCCUGGGAACAGUGAGAAGCGGGGCGGGCCUGGCAGAAGGGGCGGGGCGGGGGGACCCCGUUUCGAACGGUCCGAAGACAUCGCGCUAGGCAGCGUGGGGGCUGCGCCGCAGGAGCCGUUGGGGGAGCCGGGUCCUGUGCCACUGAACCAGCCCGGCUCUGAGGGCUGAACCCACUGCACGCCAGCGCUGGGCAGCAGCCCCCUGCCCCUGGGCCUGGGCAGGGCCUGCCACAGGGUAGGACGCUAGCGUCAGACUGGCUCCAGUUGUCACAGUGGGGCCUGCACUUUGAAUUGAAUUAUCAACGACAGUGACCCUUUGUGAUGACAGAAGAGUGAGAAAACCUCAUCUACCCGGCCAAGUGGAAUCUGAUUCAUUGUGUGCCAGGGCUUGUCCACCUUAAAAAUGCUGCAGCUGUACAACUGCAUCUCUUCAGUGAAGAUGCCACUUACUCCAACUUGAGGGAGUCUUCCAUUGGCGUACAUAACUCACUUCCUUGAGAGAAGUGGAGCUACUCUGAUUUUGCCAGUGGACGAUCUGAUGUAAUAUUUAAAAAUGGAUUUGAGAUCCGUAGAUGCAAGAUUCAAGAGAAUUCAAGAAACAUCUGUAACCAGAUUGAACUUGACAGAACAAUGGCAGCAAUUGAACAGAAGACCAGAUAUUGAAGCAGAAAGUGGAAUUCUGGAAGGCUCGCUCAAGAAGGAGGAGGAAGAAAUUCAUGCUUUGACAUCUGAAACUCCAGUGCUGCUAAACUAAAUACAGACAUGAUAAACGGGUGAACUGAUGUGCAUCCUUGCUGAGAUGGAAGGAGGUGACCAUCAUGCCGACUCAGGAGAAUGGAUGAAGAGGAAGAGACAUGGGAGGCUGAAAUGAUAACGUGAGCAAGUCAGAGAAUCAACAGUGUCUGGGACAAUCUGGAAUGAUAAGAAUGAGCCUGGCAUAGUCCAAUUUCUGCUUGAGACCCACCUGCAGGAUGAUCAGAAUUAGGAAGAAAGACAUACAGGAGUGCUGAUCAGAAAAGCAUUGGUUAAAGAGCCCAGACUGAGAGCAGAAUAAACAGCAUUUCUUCUUAUCUUUCAUGGUGAACAGGUCAACUGAGAUGCCUCAGACUGCAGAAAUGGUCCACAGGACACUGGGGUUGAGAGACCAGGAAGAAAUUCUUGUGAUGUGAUCUGCCAGGUUAUUCUGGAACUCAGCUAAGUGAUUUGCAAGGGAAAAAAUUACCUUUGUGGCCAAACUGCCCGAAGCCCUCCCGCAUUAAUAUAAUACAUUACGACAUGGGCAGUAGGUAUCAUUGGGUAUGUCUACACAGCUAUGUUAAAUGCGUAGCUGAAGUCAAAGUACCUUAACUCAGCUUUUGGCACUGUCUACACAGCAGGAAGUCAAAGGAAGAACACUCUUCCUUCCACGUCCCUUACUCCACAUGCUCCCAGUGCUGGGGCUGCUCUGACCAUGCUGGAAGUCCAGUGCUGGCCAGGGGAGGGAGGGCAUGCUUCAGAGGCAGGUGGCUGUGCCACCCAGAGCUCAGGGGCUGUGCUGCCUGGGCCUCCGAGGCUGAGUGGGGGGCUAGGGCCGUGUGGCCUGAGACCGGGGUGGGAUGGCCUGGGCUGCACUGCCAACGUUUCUGGAACCAAGGGAGGAGGCUGGGUGUGCUAGCUUGGGGUUCCUGGGCUAAGGGGCACAGGGACCGGGUGUGCUAGCCUGGGGCAGGGAUCGGUGGCCACAGUGCGGGGAAUCUAGGAGUGCUGGGCAGGAGCCAGCAUCCACAAUGGGACUGAACUCCAGUGGGCACAAUAGGGGUCGGGCCUGAGGAAGGGGCAGGGCUGGUUCAGCCAGGGGUUCACCCACUGCCCAGAUGCACUGGCCAUGGUGGUAAUGCUUGUGAGCAUGAGAAGCACUAAGUCCCUGACGUGGCUCUGAAAGGCAUUGCGGAUGGCACAAUGCUCCAGGACAUUGAUAAGCAAAAAAGCUUCCUGUUUGGCUCACAGACUUUCAGUGAUCCUACAUGUGCUCCCCAACUUAUUAUGGAGAUAUCAGUGACUAUCGCAUUGAGCCUGGACCCUAAGCAAAAGGAACACCAUGAGGCCCGUUGUCCUGAAUCAUCCAGCAAUGUAAGGAGUCUGGGCACCACAAUCCCUAGGGAGUGCGGGAUCCAGGACAACCCCUAAUCUGCUCCACAUCUGCUCCAGGCACCUGCCCCACCUCUUUUCUCUCCUUCUCCACCCCUUUCCUGCCCCACUUCACCCCAUCCCCAAGCCAUGCCCCUGCUCUGCCCUCUCUGCCCCCCUUGCAGCCUCCUCCCAAGUGCUGUGACCGGGGGUUUUACUGUGGGGAGGAGGCCUGGUGCCCCCUCACUCACCACUAUGGUAGGAAGCAGAGUGUUCUGGCUCCCAACCAUGUCCCUCAGGAGAGUGGAGCGAGCUGGGGCCAGGGUGUUCUGCUUCCCACCACUGCAGUGAAGUGUGGAGCAGAGCAGACUGAGGCUGGCUUCCCACGGCUCCCACCACCAUUGGUGAGUGUGGGGGCAGGCCUGACCCCUGCUGCCAGCACCAGCCCUCCCCCCACCUGGGCACUCUCCCCUUGGGCCCCAAAGGCACCCCCAAAGCACGGAGCCUGGGUAGG